rnacentral:lncRNA from 1 species
CUCGGACCAGCGCUAAAGGGAGCCGAGUUCAAUUCCCCUUCCCCCAGCUUCGUUCUAACUGUUCCUCUUUCAAGGUUUUCGGGAAAUCGAGAGACUCCAAAGUUCUCACUAAAGUUUCUCCAAUCCAACAACUUCCCCGGAAUCACGAAGAGUGCCAAGAAACCAGCAUGCUCAGAGAGGCAGGGCGCGCUCCAGAGCGCCCGCAGGUGGUCCUGAUGCACGGUGAGGCGCUCAGAUCUAAAACAGGGAUUCAUUACAGCAAGCAGAAGGACACAACACAUCCAGGACCCAGGACUCUCCCUUAGCAGAGUUUCAGAACCUUCAGAGGAUUCUAGCCGGUCGCUAAGUAUAAGGGAAACUCCUCUGCAAGAAUCCAAGCCAACUUUCUUCGAAUUAACUUUGUUUCUGACUCUCAUUAUCACUAAUGAGAGGAAUUUUAAUCCUUGAAUAAAAACUUGGUU